GACGUAGGGGACGAGCGUUGUCCGGAUUCAUUGGGCGUAAAGCGCGCGUAGGCGGUUACUUAAGUCGGAUGUGAAAGCCCUCGGCUUAACUGAGGAAGUGCACCCGAAACUGAGUAGCUAGAGUACGAAAGAGGGUCGCGGAAUUCCCGGUGUAGAGGUGAAAUUCGUAGAUAUCGGGAGGAACACCGGUGGCGAAGGCGGCGACCUGGGUCGAGACUGACGCUGAGGCGCGAAAGCGUGGGGAGCAAACAGG
rnacentral:rRNA from 1 species